CCUACGGGUGGCAGCAGUGAGGAAUAUUUGUCAAUGGGCGAGAGCCUGAACCAGCCACGUCGCGUGAGGGAGUACUGCCCUAUGGGUUGUCAACCUCUUUUGUCGGGGAGCAAAAGCAGGACGUGUCCGGCUGUGAGAGUACCCGAAGCAAAAACAUCGGCUAACUCCGUGCCAGCAGCCGCGGUAAUACGGAGGAUGCGGGCGUGAUCCGGAUUGAUUGGGUUUAAAGGUUGCGCAGGCGGAUGUUUAAGUCAGCGGUCAAAUCGUGGGGCUAAACCCCAUCCAGCCGUUGAAACUGGGGAUCUAGAGUGUGCGAGAGGUAUGUGGAAUGCGUGGUGUAGCGGGGAAAUGCAUAGAUAUCACGCAGAACCCCGAUUGCGAAGGCAGCAUACUGGUGCACAACUGACGCUCAGGCACGAAAGCGUGGGUAUCGAACAGGAUUAGAUACCCUUGUAGUC
rnacentral:rRNA from 1 species